CCUCGAUGACCGGCAGCCCCGUCUCCGACAGCAUGUCGAUGAAGCGGAUUUUCACCUCCGUGGGGACGACGGCCUGCGGAGGAGAGAGGCUGUAGGAAAAACGAGAUGAUUAUCAAAUGGGUAAUUUCCACUGCUGGGGCGGAAUAUGGAAGUUUUGUAACAGCUCACAGCAGCACGACACAGCAAUCUAGUACAAAGAGUAACUUCCCUGAGUGAAACUGCGAGAGGAUUUUAAGCAGGUAGAUUGAUUUGAGCUGGGACUUGGGUAGCAUCCUGGGGCAGACAGCCCGGUUCAUCUUUUCACCAGUUCUGGGAGCUCUUUAAUGACUACAAGGGAUCAGGACCUGCAUUUUACAUGGUCUAUUUUAAACCUUCCCAACAUGCUAGUCCAGUACCUGGGACUUCGUCCAGCUAUUUGGGGGCCACAAGGUAGAUCUUGAAAUAUUUAAUCUUCACUAAGAAUAUUUUGGACACAUGAAGAAGUCUGAUUUUUUUUCCUUGCCCAUUAUGGUUUUAAUGGUUGCUUGCAUUAAAAUUGUAUUGCUUUUUGGGUAAUCCCUUGUGCUGAAAAUGAAUUAUAAAUGCUUCAGAUUUUCUUUUCA